rnacentral:rRNA from 1 species
GUAGGUGGCAAGCGUUGUCCCGGGGAUUAUUGGGCGUAAAGCGCGCGCAGGGCGGUCCUUUAAGUCUGAUGUGAAAGCCCACGGCUCAACCGUGGAGGGUCAUUGGAAACUGGGGGACUUGAGUACAGAAGAGGAAAGCGGAAUUCCAAGUGUAGCGGUGAAAUGCGUAGAGAUUUGGAGGAACACCAGUGGCGAAGGCGGCUUUCUGGUCUGUAACUGACGCUGAGGCGCGAAAGCGUGGGGAGCAAACAGGAUUAGAUACCCUGGUAGUCCACGCCGUAAACGAUGAGUGCUAAGUGUUAGGGGGUUUCCGCCCCUUAGUGCUGCAGCUAACGCAUUAAGCACUCCGCCUGGGGAGUACGGCCGCAAGGCUG